GCAUGCGAUCAUACCAGCACUAAAGCACCGGAUCCCAUCAGAACUCCGAAGUUAAGCGUGCUUGGGCGAGAGUAGUACUAGGAUGGUUGACCUCCUGGGAAGUCCUCGUGUUGCAUUCC
rnacentral:rRNA from 1 species